CCUGUUAGUGGACGCUGAUUCAUGAAUGAAGUGAAAGGAAGUCUGCUCCUUCAUAUUGAGGUUUACAGUUCCCAGGUUUCUCAGGUGGUUGAUCAAGAUUUCGGACAACACUACAACGCUCUUAAUACCUAACGGGGAGACCCCAACAUCUCAAUCAUAACCAGACGCUACGACGUCAUGUCUCAAACCUCUCGAGCCAGAGCUGAGACAUCACCAGACUGAACAACCAUGAGCAAAACACACAGGAUGUCUUCCUUCCUGUCCUUCUGUGGCUCUUUUUCCCUCGUCUAUAUUCUGUAUUUUCCUACCAGACUCGGGAGACGAAAGCUUCCUCCUCUGUGAGAGAAAUAGAGUGAAAGCAGGUUCUGGAUGGACUUCUUAUUCCAUACAAAGGAGCUUUAUUUGCAUGAUCUUAAACAGAGCAUUGCCAAAGCAUGCCGUACAACAGGCUGGAGUUUUGUGAAUUCUGUCAGACUCUGUUUCUACCAUGUCUUCUUUGCACAGCUGGCAGAAACGCUCCUCUCUGGGGAGCCAUUGUUUUCUGUAUCAGGCAGGCUGUGCUCACUGGGUCUGGACUGUAUUCCUCUCAGGUAAAUUUGUGUUUUAUUGAUAAGUGUUCACAAACUAAUUGCAAUGGAGCAGCCAACGUAAUCACAGAGUGUGUUGAUUCAGGAAGUUUCAAGGCGUCUGCCAAAUAGCUCUCGGGUACAAGUCUUGGAUUGCUCGUCCUGCAUUUACAGUAAUCAUCGUCAUGAUAUGAGUUAUCAGUCUCAGGGACGUCUGUACUUCAGUGUGCACAAAGACUCCAGGAGAUCCCAAAGUUAGAAAGUGCGGAAGAACAUGUUGAAUGUGACUGAGAAUUGGUUGAAAAGACU